rnacentral:lncRNA from 1 species
GCAGGACCCAGAUGGGGAGGACUCAGCAGGAGCAGGAUGCAAGAGAACACGCCAGGACUCGCAGUUCGGUGCUGGACUGGGCUGUUUCUGCCCCCAUGGCGGCCACCAUUCGUGGUGUUCCCUGCCCCUGCUGUGCCGGCUUCUGUGGCCUCUGGGCUCCUCCUGUCUUUGGCUGUGAUUGUGUCUCGUGGGCACUUCCACUUGCUUCUCCUGAGCGUCUCAAGCAAAUGCUCCACUGUGAGGUCAUCUCAAGAUCUCCGACUCUGCUACCUCACUAGGAUCUCUUCUCCAAAUGAAGUCAUUUCCAGGUCUGUGGGUUGGGAGGUGGACAGGUCUUCCCAGGCAUCUCCUUCAGGCAUCUCACUACAAAUGUCCUUACAGCCAUUCAGGACGCAGAGUGCACUUGAGCUAAGUGUCUGGAAGAGGGUUUAGUGAGACACAAAUAAUUCGCAGUGUCUGACUCUGGAAAUCACAUGAGCAGCUGCGGCAGAACCAGACGGGAGAAGGCAGGCGAAUUCCUCACAAAGGUCUUCGUGAUUUAUUUGACUUUUGAACAAAACCCAUUGUGUAUUCUACCAAGUCUCAUCUUUAUUUUUGUGAGUACAGCACAGACUUCACAUAAAUCACAGUGAAUCCUGGUUUGUGUGCUGAUUUUGCAGUGCCAAUAAACCUUAUAUUAACAGGAUUUUGAUGGUCCGGAGAGCUACAUUUAUUUUAUGGCUUUAAGCAAACAAAAUCCUGGAGGCAGAUACUGUGCAGACGCUUCUCUCUCUGAGCAGAGGGCUACUUCUUGCCCCUGCAUUCUUGCUCAUCCCCAGGACCCUAGUCCCAGCACCUGAACCCAGCAUGCCCUCGAAGGUUUGUUGAAUGACUAACCUGUAAGAAAUGCAUGUGAAAAGGG